rnacentral:rRNA from 1 species
AUUGAACGCUGGCGGCAGGCCUAACACAUGCAAGUCGAACGGUAACAGGAAGAAGCUUGCUUCUUUGCUGACGAGUGGCGGACGGGUGAGUAAUGUCUGGGAAACUGCCUGAUGGAGGGGGAUAACUACUGGAAACGGUAGCUAAUACCGCAUAACGUCGCAAGCCCAAAGAGGGGGACCUUCGGGCCUCUUGCCAUCGGAUGUGCCCAGAUGGGAUUAGCUAGUAGGGGGGGUAACGGCUCACCUAGGCGACGAUCCCUAGCUGGUCUGAGAGGAUGACCAGCCACACUGGAACUGAGACACGGUCCAGACUCCUACGGGAGGCAGCAGUGGGGAAUAUUGCACAAUGGGCGCAAGCCUGAUGCAGCCAUGCCGCGUGUAUGAAGAAGGCCUUCGGGUUGUAAAGUACUUUCAGCGGGGAGGAAGGGAGUAAAGUUAAUACCUUUGCUCAUUGACGUUACCCGCAGAAGAAGCACCGGCUAACUCCGUG